rnacentral:rRNA from 1 species
UACGUAGGUGGCAAGCGUUGUCCGGAUUUACUGGGCGUAAAGUGUGCGCAGGCGGCCGAGCAAGUCGAGUGUGAAAGCCCCGAGCUUAACUUGGGAACUGCGCUCGAAACUACUUGGCUAGAGUGUGGCAGAGGGAGGUGGAAUUCCACGUGUAGCGGUGAAAUGCGUAGAGAUGUGGAGGAACACCGAUGGCGAAGGCAGCCUCCUGGGCCAACACUGACGCUCAUGCACGAAAGCGUGGGGAGCAAACAGG